rnacentral:lncRNA from 1 species
CAUGCGCCGGCCUCGCGGGAAGCCGGCAGCGGCGGCCGGGGUUUGCGGGCGUUGGUCACGUGUCGCCCGUCGCCGGCGUUUGAGGCGUUGGGCGCGGGUUGCUUCCGUGGCUGGGCGCGGCUGACAUCUGCAAGGCGCCGGGGAGAAUGGGGUCAGGCAGGCAUCGUGGCCGGGGCUCGUGAUGGAAGGCUGACAAGAGACAGGCCAUGACUCCCGCAGGCGUGAGUGGACGCCGGUAGAGGCACGACGGGAGCUCGGCGCCGCCGUCCGUCUGCGAGAGCUCCCCGGGUGGCCUUGCCCGGUGGCCGGCAACGUGCCCGCCCGCUGCGGAUGCUCGGAAGGCCUGGGAUCGCAGAGCCGGGAGGGACGGGCGUGGGCGAGAAGAAUGUCACCCCGUUCGUCGCCGUUCUGCGGCCAACUUGUGCUUGUUUUCCGCGAGAGAGCUUUAUUGCUAUACUUGAAAAUGCAAACAAAGUUUGUGCAUGCAUUCAGGUAGGAAACCAGUGCAUGUAAUUUCAGGGUGUUUAUGAACCCUCCCCAAAAGCCUAUUCAGGGACUCCUGUUAAAGACUGUUUAUCUGGAUACUAGACUAUACAUUAUAAGAGUUAACAAAACAAAACAAAACGUGGCCCCUAUUUGUCCUUUGCCAUUCUGUUUACUUCCCCUAGGAUAAGACAUGCAAAACUGAUCUUUGCUGAGCAUGUAUUUAAAACCAGUACAGGUACCGUACCCAGCCAGGGACCUGCUGUCCUGUACUUUUCACACCUUCCUUGUAAACAGGAUGGAGUAGUGUGAGCUGUACGUAUGACUCGUGUGACUAACUGUGUCACAAAAGGAGAGAUGUCCUGUAGGAGGCACACUCUGAAGUUUUUUUGUUUCAUCAACGAAAAGAACACUUUUAAGACCCCUCCGGAGGAUAUGGGCCUUGGCAAGGCCGUCCAGUUGUGACAGAGCUACGGCCAGCGCCCAGGGCUCACAGCCCAGCAUCCCUUGUCACUUCAACAACCGUUGAAUGCCUCCUGUUGGGAACUCCACAGAUGUUUGGUGUGGAGCUACAAGUGGCCCUCACGUCUUCCAGCGGUCCCAGGUCACCUUUCCCGCACGUCUCAGUGCCUGUGAUUGCUCUAAAUCCUCACCGCUUAAACCUUUCUCGCCACAUCUCUCCCUGUCCCAGC